rnacentral:rRNA from 1 species
GAUGAACGCUAGCGGCAGGCCUAAUACAUGCAAGUCGAGGGGUAACAGGAGAGCUUGCUCUCGCUGACGACCGGCGCACGGGUGCGUAACGCGUAUGCAACCUACCUACUACUGGGGGAUAGCCUGUGGAAACACGGAUUAAUACCCCAUAAUACAGGGGCUCCACAUGGAGAUAUUUGUUAAAGAUUUAUUGGUAGUAGAUGGGCAUGCGUCCCAUUAGUUAGUUGGUGAGGUAAUGGCUCACCAAGACCGCGAUGGGUAGGGGUUCUGAGAGGAUGAUCCCCCACACUGGUACUGAGACACGGACCAGACUCCUACGGGAGGCAGCAGUAAGGAAUAUUGGGCAAUGGAGGCAACUCUGACCCAGCCAUGCCGCGUGCAGGAUGACGGCCUUCGGGUUGUAAACUGCUUUUGCACAAGAAGAAAGAUAGGGAUGCGUCCUUAGUUGACGGUAUUGUGCGAAUAAGCACCGGCUAACUCCG